CAUGUUACCUGUGGAUUUCUUGAAGACGAGCUUUGUUAUGUUGAGCUGAUCAGCAGGAGAAGUUCAUACCACUUGAGCUGGAUCUAUCUGCACAUGCACCUGGCCCAGGAAGCUGUAAUGGGAGAUCUGAUGAGCAGUGGAGAACUGAACCAAAGCCCUUGGCUUUUGCUCCAUACCAGUCAGAAUCUCAUCAUGAUAUCGUGUUGCAUUGAGUAGUCAUGCCUCCACAGGCUCUUCUUGGCUGUGACUGCUACGUUUUCCUUGGUUUUGCCCACCUUACGGUUUACAGAAGGUAGUGGUCAGCUCUCUACUCCAUCGUCCAUGUAGUAUAACCCUCAUUGGCUGGAAUCAUAAUGACAUCUGCAUCUGGAACUAGCCACCAGUAUAACACCUACAAAAUGCACGGCGACCUUCAGACCAAAUGAAAAGUCUACAGGGUGAGAACCUGAAAAUCCAGCAAUGAGGAGAAAAAAGUUAUUUCCCAUUAAGAACACUUUUCAGAAGCGACACAAUUCCAGUUACUGAUUCAUCCCGUUUACUAGAACCUGUUCAUCUGGCUAUGCCUAAAAGCAAGGGAAACUGAAAUAGUGGCUUUUAUAU